rnacentral:lncRNA from 1 species
UUUUUUUCAAAGUGUUCUCAGCUGUUCUUAUUUGUGUUUUCAUCUAUAGGAGUUCUGCAAUAAAAUGCCUGCUUUCUCCACCAGAUGGAUGCUGAAAUGAGACCUUUUAUGUCAGAGACUACUCGGCCUCCACUCUAAAAUGACUUGGUUGAUGGAAGAACUGAUUCCCUGAGGAGGGGAAAGAUUCAGGGAAGAGCCUGUCCUGGGGGCUACUCCUGCUGAGAAGUUGGGGUGCUUCAUCCUGGACUGAAAGCCUCGGGGAAGAAGAGUAAUGAGAAGAACAUUGAAAAGAGCAUCACAUCAGAAUAUCGAGGUGGGCCUGG